GUUAUAUGGUCAAGUGAAGAAGCGCAUACGGUGGAUGCCUUGGCAGUCAGAGGCGAUGAAAGACGUGGUAGCCUGCGAAAAGCUUCGGGGAGUCGGCAAACAGACUUUGAUCCGGAGAUGUCUGAAUGGGGGAACCCAGCCAUCAUAAGAUGGUUAUCUUGUACUGAAUACAUAGGUGCAAGAGGCGAACCAGGGGAACUGAAACAUCUAAGUACCCUGAGGAAAAGAAAUCAACCGAGAUUCCCUUAGUAGUGGCGAGCGAACGGGGACUAGCCCUUAAGU
rnacentral:rRNA from 1 species